rnacentral:rRNA from 1 species
GCGAACGCGGGGGGUGUGCUAAAACACGCAAGUAGAACGGGGAGGUUUUGGUUUUACACUAGAUGUUGAGUUGUGAACGGGUGAGUAACGCGUAGGUAACCUGCCUCAUAGCGGGGGAUAACUAUUGGAAACGAUAGCUAAUACCCGCAUAAGAGUAAUUAACACAUGUUAGUUAUUUAAAAGGAGCAAUUGCUUCACUGUGAGAUGGACCUGCGUUGUAUUAGCUAGUUGGUGAGGUAAAGGCUCACCAAGGCGACGAUACAUAGCCGACCUGAGAGGGUGAUUGGCCACACUGGGACUGAGACACGGCCCAGACUCCUACGGGAGGCAGCAGUAGGGAAUCUUCGGCAAUGGACGGAAGUCUGACCGAGCAACGCCGCGUGAGUGAAGAAGGUUUUCGGAUCGUAAAGCUCUGUUGUUAGAGAAGAACGUUGGUAGGAGUGGAAAAUCUACCAAGUGACGGUAACUAACCAGAAAGGGACGGCUAACUACGUGCCAGCAGCCGCGGUAAUACGUAGGUCCCGAGCGUUGUCCGGAUUUAUUGGGCGUAAAGCGAGCGCAGGCGGUUCUUUAAGUCUGAAGUUAAAGGCAGUGGCUUAACCAUUGUACGCUUUGGAAACUGGAGGACUUGAGUGCAGAAGGGGAGAGUGGAAUUCCAUGUGUAGCGGUGAAAUGCGUAGAUAUAUGGAGGAACACCGGUGGCGAAAGCGGCUCUCUGGUCUGUAACUGACGCUGAGGCUCGAAAGCGUGGGGAGCAAACAGG